UUCACCGUGUUGGCCAGUCUGGUCUCGAACUCCUGACCUCAAGUGACCUGCCCACCUUGGUCUCCCAAAGUGCUGGGAUUAUAGGCUUGAGCCACCGUGCUCGGCCUAAAAUGCCUUAAUCUCAAUAGUCUUUUUGUACAUGUGCUAUUUAAACUGAGGACAGGACUCAUAGUUAUGCCCUUGCCCCUUUCUCCCUGGAUCUUAUUUGCUAAAGUAGAUGUUGAUUUCUCUUGAGAAUGUAACAAAAUUUUUGAUGAAGAUUUUACUGUUUAGUGAAAAGAUGAGAAUUCUCAGUCAUGAAUUUUUAUAUUUGAUAAUAGGAAACUCUAGUUAUAGGGAAAAGUCAGUAUUUUGAAAAGGCAAACCAAACAGGCAAACAUUUACGGAGUUUCUAACACAAGCAAGGCCCCCUCUCAGAAUGGGCAUCAGGAAAUGUCCAUUGAAUGAACAUUCAGUAGAUUUUAUCAGUUGCUGUGGGGGAUAAAAUUGCAUAUAAUUUUCUCUGUAUAGUUUGUCUUGAAUGUGCCGAAAACAGUUAAAAGUAAAUGCGUAUUUAUAUUUUGCCAAAGUAUCAAGACAGAAUAGUAGGCAGACAAUUCGUAUUUAGGCAUGCAAAAGGGCAAAUUAUCUGCCAAAUGAUUGUAAAUGAAUUGAUGCAAGGAAUUUAAAUAUGAAAUUUUGAUGAGAGAUUUUUAAAUUUUCUCAAUAUUAUUGUUUCCAUUCAUAUGCAAGCUAAUUAGAUACAACAACUAAUUGGAGCCAGUGGCUCAGACUGGCUCGCAACCAUUGGCACACACAUUGGAGGGAGGCCAAGGAAGGAGAAUCGCUUGAACCUGGGAGGCAGAGGUUGCGGUGAUCUUAGAUCGUGCCAUUGCACUCUAACCUGGGCAACAAGAGUGAAACUCUGUUUCAAAAAAUAAAAGUAUUACAAAGCGUCCUCCUUCUGAAUUAAGUAGUAGUUUACAGCAGAGCUGCUGAUCUUAAUCUUAAUUGUGCAUUAAAAAAAAAAAAAA